UGGCCGGAUUCUCGGGAGCGAGGUAUGGAGUUCCUACUGUACUAUACAGAAGGUAGGAACUUCAUACCGUGCUCUUGAUGGACCCAC
rnacentral:pre_miRNA from 1 species